CUUGUAUCUCAAGAAAUAUCCAUCAAUCGGUGCAGACUCUGAAACAUCCUCAGAAAUAACAGACUUGUCCUUGUUCGGCCGUCGUAAGAGGACAUAAGGCGUGAGUUCACAGCCUACGAUCGGUAUAUCGGAGGGGAGAUGCACUCGUAACACACUCAGCAUUCUCGAAGUUCACAAAAAGCUUUCCACUCUCUUCUCAACACUACUCCACAAACACAACCAACAAAUACUAAGCAAAAAUAAUUCAGAAAAAAUCGUUGUCGUAGGCGGACAUAUGGCGGAUCCGCCAUAACCUGAACUCUACACCAAUCGCCAGCCUUACCUUCUGCUUCUCCACCGUCAAUUAAUUAAACAGAAAAUCGCAGAAAAGCCCUAAAAAUGAAAAAACAAAAUACCCAAUUCAGAGAAAAAUUGAGAGAGAUCUAAUGGAAUCAAAUGCUAAGUUGAAAGAUUUGGGAGGAAAAAGCGACAGAUCAAAGAAAAAAAGAAAAUUUUAGGAACAGAAAUGAAUCGAUUUAGGGUUUUAGAGAGAAG
rnacentral:misc_RNA from 1 species